rnacentral:rRNA from 1 species
CAGCAGCAGCCACGGUAAUGCGAAGGGGGCUAGCGUUGUUCGGAUUUACUGGGCGUAAAGGGUGCGUAGGCGGAUUGUUAAGUCAGGGGUGAAACCCCGAGGCUCAACCUCGGGACUGCCUUUGAUACUGGCGAUCUUGAGUCCGGGAGAGGUGAGUGGAACUGCGAGUGUAGAGGUGAAAUUCGUAGAUAUUCGCAAGAACACCGGUGGCGAAGGCGGCUCACUGGCCCGGUACUGACGCUGAGGCACGAAAGCGUGGGGAGCAAACAGGAUUAGAUACCCCAGUAGUUCCUGUCUCUUAUAC